GAUGAACGCUGGCGGCGUGCUUAACACAUGCAAGUCGAACGGAAAGGCCCAAGCUUGCUUGGGUACUCGAGUGGCGAACGGGUGAGUAACACGUGGGUGAUCUGCCCUGCACUUCGGGAUAAGCCUGGGAAACUGGGUCUAAUACCGGAUAGGACCACAUUUUGGGUGGUGUGGUGGAAAGUUUUUCGGUGUGGGAUGAGCUCGCGGCCUAUCAGCUUGUUGGUGGGGUAAUGGCCUACCAAGGCGUCGACGGGUAGCCGGCCUGAGAGAGUGUACGGCCACAUUGGAACUGUGAUACAGGCCAGACUCCUACGGGAGGCAGCAGUGGGGAAUAUUGCACAAUGGGCGCAAGCCUGAUGCAGCGACGCCGCGUGGGGGAUGACGGCCUUCGGGUUGUAAACUCCUUUCGCUAGGGACGAAGCGUUUUUGUGACGGUACCUGGAGAAGAAGCACCGGCUAACUACGUG
rnacentral:rRNA from 1 species